rnacentral:rRNA from 1 species
UGUGAACAUACCUAUCGUUGCCUCGGCGGUGCCCGCUCCGGCGGCCCGCCAGAGGACCCCCAAACUCUUGUUUUAUACAGUAUCUUCUGAGUAACACGAUUAAAUAAAUCAAAACUUUCAACAACGGAUCUCUUGGUUCUGGCAUCGAUGAAGAACGCAGCGAAAUGCGAUAAGUAAUGUGAAUUGCAGAAUUCAGUGAAUCAUCGAAUCUUUGAACGCACAUUGCGCCCGCCAGUAUUCUGGCGGGCAUGCCUGUUCGAGCGUCAUUUCAACCCUCAAGCCCCCGGGCUUGGUGUUGGGGAUCGGCGUGCCCUCGCGGCGCGCCGUCCCCUAAAUCUAGUGGCGGUCUCGCUGUAGCUUCCUCUGCGUAGUAGCAACACUCGCACUGGAUCGCAGCGCGGCCACGCCGUUAAACCCCCCACUUCUGAAAGUUUGACCUCGGAUCAGGUAGGAAUACCCGCUGAACUUAAGCAUAUCAAUAAGCGGAGGAA